UACGGAGGGGGCUAGCGUUGUUCGGAAUUACUGGGCGUAAAGCGCGCGUAGGCGGCCUUGUAAGUUAGAGGUGAAAGCCCGGAGCUCAACUCCGGAACUGCCUUUAAGACUGCAUCGCUAGAAUUGUGGAGAGGUGAGUGGAAUUCCGAGUGUAGAGGUGAAAUUCGUAGAUAUUCGGAAGAACACCAGUGGCGAAGGCGACUCACUGGACACAUAUUGACGCUGAGGUGCGAAAGCGUGGGGAGCAAACAGG
rnacentral:rRNA from 1 species